GACGAACGCUGGCGGCGUGCUUAACACAUGCAAGUCGAACGGUGAAAGCGGAGCUUGCUCCGCUGGAUCAGUGGCGAACGGGUGAGUAACACGUGGGCAACCUGCCCCUCACUUCGGGAUAACUCCGGGAAACCGGGGCUAAUACCGGAUACGACCUCCUUGGGCAUCCUGGGAGGUGGAAAGUUUUUCGGUGAGGGAUGGGCCCGCGGCCUAUCAGCUUGUUGGUGAGGUAGUGGCUCACCAAGGCGACGACGGGUAGCCGGCCUGAGAGGGCGACCGGCCACACUGGGACUGAGACACGGCCCAGACUCCUACGGGAGGCAGCAGUGGGGAAUUUUGGACAAUGGGGGCAACCCUGAUCCAGCAAUGCCGCGUGAGUGAAGAAGGCCUUCGGGUUGUAAAGCUCUUUUGUCAGGGAAGAAACACCGGCUCUAACACAGUCUGGGAAUGACGGUACCUGAAGAAUAAGCACCGGCUAAC
rnacentral:rRNA from 1 species